ensembl:lncRNA
AGACAACAUUAUGAUCAGAACAACUGAGGACAACACUAUGGAUCAGCUUCUUGACAGUGGUUUUGCACAGACACUCCACAUGUGAUUCUUUCUCCUGUAAACCCUUAGCGACCGCCAAGAGCUCCAUCGCUUCGUGACCCCAGGUGGAUGAUCCUCCCAGGAAAAGUCCACCCAGCAGGUCUCCUGGGCAACCCACCCUGACGUCAUUGGCAGCUCUGGCAGCUGGCCCAGGAGCUGAAGCAGCUGGUGGCCAGAUCAUGUUUCCAGGGAUCCUGAGAAGUUUCCUGGAAAGCAGGCUCCUCAACUUGCUGUGUGAUGGACAUAUGACAACUGAGGGAAAUGUCCCUCCCAGGGCUCAAUUUCUCCAGCUGUAAAAUGGACUGCUAAAUGGGCCAACCUGCAGGCAGGCUAUCAGGCAGAAGCAAUGAGAGCUUAUUAAACUGCUUCGAAAGUAAAAGGCAAGGUGUGUAGUUUG